rnacentral:rRNA from 1 species
UACAGAGGUCCCAAGCGUUGUUCGGAUUCACUGGGCGUAAAGGGUGCGUAGGCGGUCGGGUAAGUCUGAUGUGAAAUCUCUGGGCUCAACCCAGAAAUGGCAUUGGAUACUAUUCGGCUUGAGUUCUGGAGGGGGGACUGGAAUUCUCGGUGUAGCAGUGAAAUGCGUAGAUAUCGAGAGGAACACCAGUGGCGAAGGCGAGUCCCUGGACAGAUACUGACGCUGAGGAACGAAAGCUAGGGGAGCAAACAGG